UGUAGUGUUUAUUGUUCAUAGUUGCUGCCUGACUAGGUAUGUAGUUCAAGUCUUUAAGAAAAUUAGGUCCGGUCAGUACUAACAUGUUCUACCUUGACAUUCACAACUACAACUGCAAGAGGCAGCAUUAAGUACACUUGUUGCAGAAGGCCUCUGCUCAGGACCAGUCAAUUUCUUAGCAAUUUCCUCACAAGAUUUGAGCAAAUACUUCAAUUCCAACUCAAAUGAAAAACCCGUUGAGGAAAAGCCAGCUUUUGAAAAAUCCUGCCGCCGAGAAAUCAUCAAUGGCUGGAAAGAAAAUUCCCAAGGAUGGCUCCGCCGUUGCCAGGGACAAGAAGAAGAGGGCAAAAAAAAUCAGUUGAGACUUACAAGAUCUACAUCUUCAAAGUUUUGAAGCGGGUUCAUCUCGAUAUCUCAAGUAAAGCCAUGGGUAUCAUGAACAGUUUCAUAACGAUAUUUUUGAAUAGCUUGCUCAGCUCAAGAAUCUUCUAGAUUGGCUAGGUACAACAAAAAGCCUACAAUUACUGUUGUGAGACUUGUGCUUCUUGGUGAAUGCUAAGCAUGCUGUCUCGGCUAUAAUUUUAAUUAGGAUUUGUUGAUGUAAAGAAGAAAGAUUGGUUAGCUGUUGGUUUAAUGUUUUGCAGUUCUGCAUUUGCAACGAUUUUCCCUUGUGUUAAUUGUGAAGUAUGAGAGAGAAAUACUUGUAUUUCAAAGUAACCCCAGGAACAUGGAAGAUUUGAGCAAAUACUUGCUCAAUUUCUUCUCAAAAGCUUGCAUAUUAUUUUGGACUAAACACCUAUCUCC